CUUUUAUUCCGUCGAAGUUAAUCGAGUUCUCCAUUAAAUCGGUCGUUGUAUUUACGGAAGACAUCGAUUGUGUUGGUAAUGACAAAAGGACACCAAUUAGACGAUCACUUUUGAAAUUCCAAAAUGGAACUCCAGAAUCAUCAUCAAGUUGAAGGAGCCGCUUGCUACCGGAUCAUCUUCUUCAGCCACAGCCCACAGCGAACGAAAGUUGUAAAAGCAUCGUCCUCGCACCAUCUGGAAGCGGUCCUUCGCACAAUUUGGAUAAGUGAAAUAUCACGAAAAAGAUAAUCCGGACUACACUUCCGAAUUUCUAUUAUUGCGAUGAGGAAUUGCGAGAUAUUCGACCGUUUUUUUCACCAUCCUGAUGGAGCUAGACCGGGCCGGACUGCAUUGAAAACAUCACCCGCUGGUCAUAAAUUAUCCACUCAACCCCUCGUGAACGAGCAGCCUGGAGACAGUGAUAUUUUGGCCGUCUUCGGAUCUACAAAAUGUCUCCAAAGCAUAUGGAUAUGAAAUUACCACUUCCGCCGAUGUCCGGCACCGAGGUUAGAUUAGUUUUUCAUUUGAAUUCGGUAGGGAUCGUGGGGAGAAAUCACUUUUGUUGAUGUUUCGGCCUUGGUUUUAGCCUAAUGCUAGGUUGCAGUCCUUUAAAUUUUCCUGCUUCCGCUCAAUUCUUGUGCUCAAAUAUCAUCUACCUAUGAAUAAAAUUUAUAUGGCAAAUACUAUACAUUAGCACAGCAAUACAAGAAAUAAA